GGGCGGAUAGCUCAGAUGGCUAGAGCGCCUGCCUUACAAGCAGGAGGUCGUAGGUUCGAAUCCUGCUCUGCCCA
rnacentral:tRNA from 1 species